rnacentral:lncRNA from 1 species
GGUGUGACAUAACAGCAGGACUAUGAUGGACACAGAUGACCAGUGGACACGGGCUUUGGCCAGCAACAACGUUAGGGCCAUCCUCCGCUGGCUACACAGCCUCUUAGCUGAAGUGGGAGAUGCUGAUGUGGAGGACAGCCUCCCUUCUUUUAGCAGCUGGGUCCAGAGGACGGCUGAACUUUCAAAGGAGUUACUCACCCAAAGUUUGGGGAUUCCAUGUGUCUGCAGGGUCGACUGUGGCUCCUCAGCAGUAAGGCAGGACUGCUGGAAUCGGGAACGCAGAGCUCUGAAGCAACACAUCUGGCUGGGUCGGCUGGUACAGUGGUGGGGCAUCACCGGACUCCUGCCCAAGUACCCUGAUGCUCAAGAAAUAAAGCAGAUCUCUCAGAUAUGGAGAGAGAUGGAUCAGAACCACCGCAGGGCUUGUCUCCACACUUCUGGUCUGGAGGAGAAGGGAAGUGAAUGGUGGAAUUCACUGAUCCAGAGUAUGGUGGCUCAGAUGGACUAACAACACUGGCCCAUAUGGACUUCUGAGGACCGCACCGACCAGGGUUACCCACCCCCUAAACUGCAGGCUUUGCUGAAGCUGGUGCUGGUGUCUCGCAUUGACAACAUAUCUGUUCAGGCCAUUGUAUCCAACCAUGGAGAAUCCAUAAAGUGUUCUCAAAGGUAUGACCGUGACUGUCAUGUGAACUGAAGUGAAUAUACAGUAUUCUUGAUCAUGUAAACUACACUUA